AUGAAUAAUCUGAAGGAUCCAAAGACUAAGAUAUUUCCCUCAAGGAGGAGGGGAGGUAAGGAACUGCCAUCCAAUUCUGCUUUAGAUUCACCUUCUACUAUGAGUAAACUUGCAACACCACCACAUGCUAUUAAUCCUGAUAUGUCGCAAGUUAUUGAUGAUGCUACUUCUACUAUGAAUGAUGCUUAUGAUGAUGCUAGUACCUUGCUUGAUAAUGAUGAUGUGCCACUUGGUGAAUUUCUUGAUAGACCAAUUGCUAGAGUUAUACAACAUGAUGUUGUUGAAUCUGAUGAUGAGCUUGAAACUGAAACUCCUGAAACACCUGCUAGAACUAGCCUUCCUAGAUAUGAAUUGCCUAAGGUACCGGAAGGUUAUAUUAUGAGUGAAGAAGCAACUAGAGAUAUUCUUGCUUGCAAUGAUAGAGAUGAUCUAGAGAAAUUACUAUGCAAUUAUAAAGAAAAAUAUCUAAAUGCUAGAAUGAAAUGUGAUCCUAAGUUUGCUACUUCACCUAUCCUUAUUGAUGAUAAGGAUUAUGAAUUCUCUGUCGACCCAGAGUUAAUAACUUUGGUUGAAUCUGAUCCUUUCUAUGGUUAUAUAACUGAAACUGCUGUAGCACAUCCUACUAAGUUGAAUGACAUAGCCACCCUUUUUACACAUGAUGAGAAAACUCGCUAUUACUUUAUUAUCAAAUUAUUUCCUUUCUCAUUAAAGGGUGAUACUAAAGCUUGGUACAAUACUCUUGCUCCUGGUUGUGUGCGUAGUCCCCAUGAUAUGGUUUAUUACUUCUCUGAAAAAUAUUUUCCUGCUCAUAUGAAGCAAGCUGCCUUACAGGAAAUAUUUAACUUUGUGCAAACUAAAGAAGAGAGUCUCCCACAAGCUUGGGGAGGCUUUGCCUGA
rnacentral:rRNA from 1 species